rnacentral:rRNA from 1 species
AUAUAUUGAGUUUGCUUUAUGCAUAUUUCUAUUUACUGUGAACUGUUUUACUGUUUAGCGUUUUGAGGGAUUGCCUAAAGAUUAUAGGGAUAGGUCUUUAGGAUGUUAACCUAGCUAAAGUCAGGCUUAGGCCUGGUAUCCUAAUUCAUUAUUUACCAAAAGAAUUCAGAAUUAAUAUUGUAACAUAAGCGUAAAAAACUUAUAAAACAACUUUUAACAACGGAUCUCUUGGUUCUCGCAUCGAUGAAGAACGUAGCAAAGUGCGAUAACUAGUGUGAAUUGCAUAUUCAGUGAAUCAUCGAGUCUUUGAACGCAUCUUGCGCUCAAUGGUAUUCCAUUGAGCACGCCUGUUUCAGUAUCAACAACAACCCACAUCCACAAUUUUGUUGUGAAUGGAAGUGAGAGUAUCGAUGUAAAAAUUGAACUCUUUAAAACUAUUAGGCCUGAACUAUUGUUCUAUUAGCCUGAACAUUUUUUUAAUAUAAAGGAAUGCUCUAGUUAAAAGACUAUCUUGGGGGCCUCCCAAAUAAAUCAUUUUUUUAAACUUGAUCUGAAAUCAGGUGGGAUUACCCGCUGAACUUAAGCAUAUCAAUAAGCGGAGGAAA